GAGUUUGAUCCUGGCUCAGAUUGAACGCUGGCGGCAUGCCUUACACAUGCAAGUCGAACGGCAGCACGGGAGCAAUCCUGGUGGCGAGUGGCGAACGGGUGAGUAAUGUAUCGGAACGUACCUUUCAGUGGGGGAUAACGUAGCGAAAGUUACGCUAAUACCGCAUAUUCUGUGAGCAGGAAAGCAGGGGAUCGCAAGACCUUGCGCUGAUUGAGCGGCCGAUAUCAGAUUGGCUAGUUGGUGAGGUAAAGGCUCACCAAGGCGACGAUCUGUAGCGGGUCUGAGAGGAUGAUCCGCCACACUGGAACUGAGACACGGUCCAGACUCCUACGGGAGGCAGCAGUGGGGAAUUUUGGACAAUGGGGGCAACCCUGAUCCAGCCACGCCGCGUGAGUGAAGAAGGCCUUCGGGUUGUAAAGCUCUUUCGGCCGGGAAGAAAUCGCAUCAGCUAAUACCUGGUGUGGAUGACGGUACCGGAAUAAGAAGCACCGGCUAACUACGUGCCAGCAGCCGCGGUAAUAC
rnacentral:rRNA from 1 species